rnacentral:rRNA from 1 species
UACGAAGGGGGCUAGCGUUGCUCGGAAUCACUGGGCGUAAAGGGUUCGUAGGCGGGUCUUUAAGUCAGGGGUGAAAUCCUGGAGCUCAACUCCAGAACUGCCUUUGAUACUGAAGAUCUUGAGUUCGGGAGAGGUGAGUGGAACUGCGAGUGUAGAGGUGAAAUUCGUAGAUAUUCGCAAGAACACCAGUGGCGAAGGCGGCUCACUGGCCCGAUACUGACGCUGAGGCACGAAAGCGUGGGGAGCAAACAGG